GUUCGUAAAGAUAUCUCUAUGAAGAUUACUUUUCGUAAAAACGGUUAUGCUGAUUUUUACGGACUUUCAGACAUUGAUUCCGUCGUGACCGAUUUUGACCCCAACAUAACUGAUCUCGAAAACUAUCGAAACCUCUUGCUUUUUCUCUCUACUUUCACUCACGUUUUUAAACUGAUCUGAAGUGGUCUGGAUGUGUUGAAAUGUGAAGGUGGGCAUGCCUAUUUAUAUAAGACAGCAGCCAAUCAGAUUCAGGUCGGUGGCAGCCUGUGUGUCGGCUCGCAUGGCUCCGGUUGCAUGCGCGGCCGCACCUCGUGCUCCACAUGUCUUUCAGCAUGGCUAGGGCUCAUGCAAAGUGAGACCUCUAAUCCUACCUGGAUGACCAUAUGUUCAUCAGCAUGUCUGGAUCACAUGCACGACAACACACGGUGCCCAAAUGUCGAUCAGCAUGCUGCGGUUGCAGAUAUGAUGACAUCUCGUGCUUCUGUGUGUCAGUCCCCAUGUGCUGUUUCCAUGCGUGCCAACACCUCGUGCUUCUAUAGACAGACAGCAUAUCAGAUGGUUGACAUCACGUCCUGAUUACAUGCAUUGAGACACCUCGAGCUUCUCGGUCGAUUUACGCGAUUUUGACCCUUCCGGCAUAUUUUCGGCCCACGAUUAAUCCCGAAUAUUUUUCUGCUCCCGCUC
rnacentral:lncRNA from 1 species